rnacentral:misc_RNA from 1 species
AGUGGGUGAGAGAAGAGUAUUCCCAUACAGAGGUGUGGAAACAUGGCCUCGUCCCUUCAAGCCGCGGCAACCCUAAUCCCAGCCAAGAUCAGAGCUCCUGCCCGGACCCAUCUAAGAUCCAACUCUCACCUCUCCAAGGCCUUUGGCUUCGACAACUCCACCGCCGGCCGUCUAACCUGCUCCAUCAACUCUGAUCUCCGUGACAUCGCCCAGAAGUGCACCGAUGCCGCCAAGCUCGCCGGCUUCGCCCUCGCCACCUCCGCCCUCGUCAUCUCGGGAGCAAGCGCUGAGGGAGUGCCGAAGAGGCUGACCUUUGAUGAGAUCCAGAGCAAG